GCCUCACUAGCUCAGCCUGGUUAGAGCGCCACUCUCAUAAGGUGGAGGUCGGGGGUUCAAAUCCCCCAUGAGGCA
rnacentral:tRNA from 1 species